rnacentral:lncRNA from 1 species
GAUGUAAUUUUUACACCAUUGUGACCACCGUUUCUUCCUCUACAUGUUGACCAGAGCAAAACACCAAAUCGCGAUUCGAGCCUGAGGAGCCGCUGCACCGGAGAGCCCCGCCACCGGUAAGUUUUGGUCGAAUACGGCUAAAAACGGCUGGGAAACGACCAACCUGAGGCGGAUCGCCGCCGCAAGCGGAGGCACCGCCUCAAGCGGCGGCACCGACACCGA